rnacentral:lncRNA from 1 species
CCCCUUUCUCUGCCCCCCGCCCCCGAGCCGCGGCCAUGGACCCGGCAGAUCUGGCUUGCCCUGGCCCAGCUCAACACCUGAUUUCGGUCCAUGUGUGAGGUGGCUUCAGCCUUCCAACGUCCUUCUCCACUCAUGCCUCUGAAGAGAGAGAACCUAGAGAGGUGACGUCGUGGGCUGCAGAGGAGUAGGUACUUCAUGGCAGGCAGGUAGAAACCUAUGCCCUGAGAGUUAGAAACUCAGCCCUGAUCUUCCUAGUCUGCUGUGUGACCUUAGCCAAGAUAGUUUGCCUCUCGGAGGCUCAGUCUCUUUCCCCUUUAAAAUUUAGUGGGACUAGAAAGGUCUAAAAUUCCCUUUCACUUUUUUAUAUUGGAUGGUUCCACUGGUGGGUCACUAGAAGGGAGAACGGUCCUUUGGCAGGGUGGCUCCAUGUAGAGAGCUAAGGAGGUGGUUGUCACAGUUACUUAGGAUUAAAGAAGCAGACUCCCUCAUCCUGCCUGGCUGUUCUCAAAACAGUCAUUGUUCUACACACUCCUGGUGCCUUGGGAUAUGAACUCCUGCUGGCAUGGGUUUGGCCCACCCAUCAAGACCUCUGGUGAGACAUCCUGGCUGGGCCACUCUUUGAGUUGGGCCUUUGGGGAGGGGUUGAGAAUAGAGGAGGCAGCCAAGGGCCAGCAGGAUUCCCAGGAGACAGCUUGCAUCCCAGCUGUUGGGACUUGUUUUAGGUUCUGGGCCAGGGAGCACAGCGUACUCAGCUACUCUGUGGGAAGAGGGCAAGGAGGGCCCCCACUGCUGUUUCCCAUCCCACUCCCUGGCCCUUCCUACCUGGCUCUGGACUCAGAACCCCAGCCCCUAGGCAGGGAGCUAAGGAAUCAUCCCACUGCCCUCAUCCAGCCAAGGAGCAUCGAAGAGAAGCUGUCCUGACCCCACCUUUCCCAGCCUCUUUGUUCCUGGGGAUAGGACUUUCUCAAAGUCAAUCUCUCCAGGUUGAGACUUGCUCCCCAGCCCAAGAGGCAAAAGGCCUCCUGUUCUUCUUGUUUGUUUUCAUCUUUGGUCUCCCAGGUAAAGAGGAAUGUUAAAGGAGAAGUGGUGGUUAAAGAGGCCCUGGGACUGGCUGGGUAUGAGGCACAUUCUCCUGCACUGCUUUUCCCUCUGCCUACUCUCCUGGGCCUGGGAACCCUCUGCCCAGGACACUGUUGGUGAAGUUGCCACAGGAGGCAUUUAUGUUAGACCCCAAAGAAACCUUCCUCACUGCUGUGCGCCCUUGGAAUGGAUAAUGAAAGCUCCCACGGAGGUCAUUUUCCCAGAAAGUGGCUCAUAGUGGAAUCCCUGUCGGUGAAGGAUGCAGCUGUUGCUAGGCAGAGACUGCUGUUCCUUCUUGGGGUGUGGCUGUAGGCUAGCCAGCCAGAGGCUCCGUUAGAAGUAGGAGGAGAAAGGACUCUUGCCUCAUAGUCAGAGUGGGGUUACUGGCAUUCUGGGGUGACCAGAGCUGCCUCUCUCAGAACAAAUGUCCAUUCUCACUCCUGCUUCCCCCAGUCUCUUCCCCAAGUCACUGUUACUACCACAAUCUGCUUUGACAGCCCUCAUCCGAACCUGGCAGGCGACUCCAGCCUGUCUGGCUACACUAAUGGAUGAUUGGAUUUUCUAUACUUGGAGUUUGGGAUUUCUGAUUGAACAUGCAAAUUUAUGUAAAUCGACCUGAGAUCUGCCACCACAUCAAAACAGCACAGAGCUUCCACAGGCUGGAAGAAAUCCUAGAGACACUCUAGUCCAAUGCCCUUACAUUAAAAGUGGGGAAACUUGGGCCGGGGAUUUAGCUCAGUGGUUACAGCGCCUGCCUUGAAAGCUCAAGGUCCCGAGUUCGAUCCCUGGUGACAAAAAAAAAAAAAAAAAAAAAAAAAAAAAAUGGGGAAACUGAAGUCCAGAGCGGGAAGUGAUUCAUAUGGUGGUAUCAGAGGCAGGACUGUUGACUCUGGUCUGUUAAGUUUUAUGUUAGCAUUCUGCCUUUAUUUUUCAUUCAUGUGGGACCCUGGUUGUAUUUAAAGCAGAGAAGGCCAGUUGUUGAACCUAGAUUCCAGAGAGGGGCCCUAGAGGGUUAGAGUAUUAUCCCAAGGUCUCCCAGGAAUGCUAGUCUGAUUUCUAUAAUGCUGAAGAAAACUUCAAAUCUCCCUUAAUAUUUCCCCUUUGACACCAUCCUGGAGGAUAAGGUCAUUAGUUACUGUCUGGAUUGGUAAGGGUUUCCUUGGAGUUUAGAUUGUAUCUGCCACAGUGCUCAGCGCAUGGUAGUCUGGGGGUGAAUAUGAAAUACCUCCAUCUUUACCAUUCCCUCCUAGUUUGAGUCUCUGCUUUUCCCUCUGUGGCUACAGUGGGAAAAGAUCUUUGAUCUUCUAUGACUUUGCCCUUCCCACCCUGCCCAUUUAGAGUAAAUAGGUCAAGUGGGCCUUCUAUGCAAGUUUCUACAAGGACCAGAGAGGUCUUGGUGUAGGGAGCCCCUCAUUAUUUUAGGACUGGUGCCAAGGAUGAGUGGGGGCUAUAGAGAUGAGCUUGGGGUUCAAGAACAGUCUCCCCGACCCCCCUCUUUUUCAGGGCUGAUUGUUAAAUUUAGGGCAUAAUGCAUGAUAGGCAAGCCACUGAGCUACAUCCCCACUUCUUGACCUGUUCUUGGUCUGAUCCCUCUGCCCAGCUGCCAGAUAUCCCCCACUCCCUCUUCACAGACUCUGCCUGUAGCUUGGGGCUGUUUGAACCCUCACUUACCCUCUGGUGCCAGAGUGUACUGUAGAGAUGGUGGAGAUGCUUAGGCAGCCUUUGGCCUGCUGUGCUGUACCCUGGGAAGCUGAUGCAAAGGCUCAAGAACAGAAGCAGAAGCACUGACUCUCAGCCAGAGCUACGUACCAGACCCUGCUACUACAGCCUGGGGAGGGCCUUGGGACAUGUAUCUGGUGUCUUUCCUCAUCUUCUCCCCAAACUCAGGUCUGGAAUGAAUACCCCUAUAUUCAGCAUCUUCCCAAAACACAGCUGGUGUGGAGCAGGCACCCCUAGUUCCCCCCUGCUCAGCAGCCCUUGGCAGCUAGGUCCUUAGCUCCAUGUGAGGUGAGAUCCUUUUCCCUGGGCCUCAGUUUCCCAGCCAGUGCUCAUGGAUUAAUAAUACAUCAUCAUUGGGGUGUGGCACCUGCUCCAUAAUUACUGUUUUCCCAGCUCUGGGAGUUACACAGAUGAAAGAGCCCUGUGGAGGCCAGGCUGUUAUUAAGGUGAAUUAUCAUUGCUGUUAUUACUGAUUUCUAAAAACCCAGCUGCUGAGAGGAACCCAGUCAGGCACACCACCCUGAACUGUGUGCUGGUCCUUGAACUCUGCGAGUUCUCUAAUACUCACUAAGCUUUAAAAAAUAAGUAGAAAUAAAUAUAAUUAUAGCAAUUUAAAAAGCAGGGAAGACCCCGUUCUGCUGUUCCUGCUGU